rnacentral:lncRNA from 1 species
UUUAAGAAAUAUUAUUUUAAUUGUAAAGUUUCCUUCUAAAGAAACACAUGCUUUUUGAAGUAGCAAAGUACCUACAUCUUGAAAAACUUAUAUACAGAACAUUUUAAAAUAGAAACUUGUACUUUUCAGAAUCUUAUAUUUGAACGUUUUUUAAACAGAAACCUAUAACAAAUUGGUUUCUUUAUUUCUCCUUUAUUGCUUCACAAACGUAUUUAAAACAGAAACCCAUAAAACGUUCAUAAAAUUGUUCCUCAAUUACUUCUUGAUUUAUUUCAGAGUUCUUUUUUAUUUUCCGCAGAUGUCAUCAAUUGUUUAUAGAAAAAAUCAAUCUAACGGUCGAGUUUGCUCAUAAUCUCUAAUCUAUCGGCUAUAAUUUCAUUUAGGAACCUGAGUAUUGGAAUCAUAGUUUCAAUUGAACGAAAAACUUGUUCAUUCCUUAAAUAAUUGUUUUUUCUGAAAUUUAAUAUGAUUUUUUAUUGAAUAUAUUUCAGAAGCUUAAC